GACGAACGCUGGCGGCGUGCUUAACACAUGCAAGUCGAACGGAAAGGCCCUGCUUUUGUGGGGUGCUCGAGUGGCGAACGGGUGAGUAACACGUGAGUAACCUGCCCUUGACUUUGGGAUAACUUCAGGAAACUGGGGCUAAUACCGGAUAGGAGCUCCUGCUGCAUGGUGGGGGUUGGAAAGUUUCGGCGGUUGGGGAUGGACUCGCGGCUUAUCAGCUUGUUGGUGGGGUAGUGGCUUACCAAGGCUUUGACGGGUAGCCGGCCUGAGAGGGUGACCGGCCACAUUGGGACUGAGAUACGGCCCAGACUCCUACGGGAGGCGGCGGUGGGGAGAAUUGCACAAUGGGCGGAGGCCUGAUGCGGCAACGCCGCGUGCGGGAUGACGGCCUUCGGGUUGUAAACCGCUUUCGCCUGUGACGAGGCGUGAGUGACGGUAAUGGGUAAAGAAGCACCGGCUAACUCCGUG
rnacentral:rRNA from 1 species